rnacentral:rRNA from 1 species
ACUCCUACGGGAGGCAGCAGUGGGGAAUAUUGCACAAUGGGCGCAAGCCUGAUGCAGCCAUGCCGCGUGUAUGAAGAAGGCCUUCGGGUUGUAAAGUACUUUCAGCAGUGAGGAAGGUGGGUAUGUUAAUAGCAUACUCAUUUGACGUUAGCUGCAGAAGAAGCACCGGCUAACUCCGUGCCAGCAGCCGCGGUAAUACGGAGGGUGCGAGCGUUAAUCGGAAUUACUGGGCGUAAAGCGCAUGCAGGUGGUUUGUUAAGUCAGAUGUGAAAGCCCGGGGCUCAACCUCGGAAUUGCAUUUGAAACUGGCAAACUAGAGUACUGUAGAGGGGGGUAGAAUUUCAGGUGUAGCGGUGAAAUGCGUAGAGAUCUGAAGGAAUACCGGUGGCGAAGGCGGCCCCCUGGACAGAUACUGACACUCAGAUGCGAAAGCGUGGGGAGCAAACAGGAUUAGAUACCCUGUCGGUACUGC